AUACGGAGGGUGCAAGCGUUAUUCGGAAUCACUGGGCGUAAAGGGUGCGUAGGCGGUUUGGUAAGUCUGAUGUGAAAUCCUAUGGCUCAACCAUAGAACUGCAUUGGAAACUGCUAAACUAGAAUACUGAAGGGGCAGAUGGAAUUAGUGGUGUAGGGGUAAAAUCCGUAGAUAUCACUAGGAAUACCGAAAGUGAAAGCGAUCUGCUGGGAAGUUAUUGACGCUGAGGCACGAAAGCGUGGGGAGCAAACGGGAUUAGAAACCCCGGUAGUCC
rnacentral:rRNA from 1 species